rnacentral:rRNA from 1 species
UACGAAGGGGGCUAGCGUUGCUCGGAAUCACGGGGCGUAAAGGGCUCGUAGGCGGCCAACUAAGUCAGACGUGAAAUCCCCAGGCUCAACCUGGGAACUGCGUCUGAUACUGGAUGGCUUGAAUCCGGGAGAGGGAUGCAGAAUUCCAGGUGUAGCGGUGAAAUGCGUAGAUAUCUGGAGGAAUACCGGUGGCGAAGGCGGCAUCCUGGACCGGCAUUGACGCUGAGGAGCGAAAGCUAGGGGAGCAAACGGG